GACGAACGCUGGCGGCGUGCUUAACACAUGCAAGUCGGACGGAAAGGCCCUGCUUUUGUGGGGUGCUCGAGUGGCGAACGGGUGAGUAACACGUGAGUAACCUGCCCUUGACUUUGGGAUAACUUUAGGAAACUGGGGCUAAUACCGGAUAGGAGCUCCUGCUGCAUGGUGGGGGUUGGAAAGUUUCGGCGGUUGGGGAUGGACUCGCGGCUUAUCAGCUUGUUGGUGGGGUAGUGGCUUACCAAGGCUUUGACGGGUAGCCGGCCUGAGAGGGGGACCGGCCACAAGGGGACUGCGAUACGCACCAGACUCGUACGGGAGGCAGCAGUGGGGAAUAUUGCACAAUAGGCGGAAGCCUGAUGCAGCAACGCCGCGUGCGGGAUGACGUCCUUCGGGUUGUAAACCGCUUUCGCCUGUGACGAAGCGGGAGUGACGGUAAUGGGUAAAGAAGCACCGGCUAACUACGUG
rnacentral:rRNA from 1 species